AUUGAACGCUGGCGGCAGGCUUAACACAUGCAAGUCGAGCGGGGGAGGUUGCUUCGGUAACUGACCUAGCGGCGGACGGGUGAGUAAUGCUUAGGAAUCUGCCUAUUAGUGGGGGACAACGUUCCGAAAGGAACGCUAAUACCGCAUACGCCCUACGGGGGAAAGCAGGGGAUCUUCGGACCUUGCGCUAAUAGAUGACCGUAAGUCGGAUUAGCUAGUUGGUGGGGUAAAGGCCUACCAAGGCGACGAUCUGUAGCGGGUCUGGGAGGAUGAUCCGCCACACUGGGACUGAGACACGGCCCAGACUCCUACGGGAGGCAGCAGUGGGGAAUAUUGGACAAUGGGCGGAAGCCUGAUCCAGCCAUGCCGCGUGUGAAGAAGGCCUUUUGGUUGUAAAGCACUUUAAGCGAGGAGGAGGCUCCUUUAGUUAAUACCUAAAGAGAGUGGACGUUACUCGCAGAAUAAGCACCGGCUAACUCUGUGCCAGCAGCCGCGGUAACAC
rnacentral:rRNA from 1 species